rnacentral:rRNA from 1 species
UACGUAGGUGACAAGCGUUGUCCGGAUUUAUUGGGCGUAAAGAGCGUGUAGGCGGCCAGGUAGGUCUGCUGUGAAAACUCGAGGCUUAACCUCGAGCUGUCGGCGGAAACCAUCUGGCUAGAGUCCGGAAGAGGAGAAUGGAAUUCCCGGUGUAGCGGUGAAAUGCGCAGAUAUCGGGAAGAACACCCGUGGCGAAGGCGGUUCUCUGGGACGGUACUGACGCUGAGACGCGAAAGCGUGGGGAGCGAACAGG